GUGAGAAAUUGUUCUGUAUGAAUACAAUAAAAAGAGAGAAGGUGGUAUGAUGAUACACAAGUGACAGAAGCUUCUAAUUGGCCUGCUUCCCCCUUUGCAUGACACAAUCCACCAUAGAGUAGCGAAUCCAUUUCUUUAGCUUCAAUUAUGUCUCUAAAUUUAUCACUGGGAUAUAAUUCAUAUUUAAAGAGUACAAUUCAGGCCAGGUUUAGUGGCUCAGGCCUGUAAUCCCAGCAUUUUGGAAGGCCAAAGAGGGAGGAUUUGGAGUGCAAUGGCACAAUCUCGGCUCACUGCAACCUGUGCCUCCUGGGUUCAAACAAUUCUCCUGCCUCAGUCUCCCAAGUACCUGGGAUUACAAGUGUGUGCUACCACAUCUGGCUAAUUUUUGUAUGUUUAGUAGAGACGGAGUUUCGCCAUGUUGGCCAGACUGAUCUCAAACUCCUGACGUCAAGUGAUCCACCCGCCUUGGCCUCUCAAAGUGCUGGAAUUACAGGCCUGAGCCACUGCACCCGGCUGGACAUGCCACAUCUUAUUUGGGUUGUUUCCACCUUUCCAGCUAUUUUGAAUAAUGCUCCUGUGAACAUUUGUGUAUGAAUUUCCAUGUGAGCUUAAGCUUUUGUUUCUCAUGGGUCUGGGAGUGGAACUGUCGGGUCAUAUGGUACCUCUGUUCAACUGUUUUGUUUUGUUUUGUUUUUGAGGCAAAGUUUUGCUCUUGUCACCAGGCUGGAGCACAGUGGCACAAUCUUGGCUCUCUGCAACCUCCACCUCCCAGGUUCAAGCGAUUCUCCUGCCUCAGCCUCCCGAGUAGCUGGGAUUACAGGCAUGUGCCACUACGUCCGGCUAAUUUUUGUAUUUUUAGUAGAGACGGGGUUUCACCAUGUUGGUCAGGCUGGUCUCCAACCCCUGACCUCAGGUGAUCCACCUGUCUCGGCCUCCCAAAGUGCUGGGAUUACAAGCGUGAGCCAUCGCGCCCGGCCUCAACAUUUUUUUUUUAAGUAUAGUCAAGUGAAGCAUCAGAAGUGGAGAAUCAACAAAGAAAUCUUAAAUGUUUGUGAUCAAUUAGCUGUAAAAACCACUGCACUUGGACCAGCCUCUAUGUUUAACUUUUUGAGGAAAUGCCAGACUGUUUUCCACAGCAGAUGCACCAUUUUACAUUCCCACCAGCAGUGCAGAAGGGUUCCAGUUUCCCCCAUCUUCUCCAAGCUUUGUUAUCUGUGUAUUUGCUUCCAGCCAUCCCAGUGGGUGUGAAGCGGUCUCUCCUUGUGGAUUUGAUUUGCAUUUCCCUCAAGCCUAGGGAUACUGAGCAUCUUUGCAUGAGCUGGUUGGCCAUUUACCUAUCUUCUUUGGAGAAAUGUCUAUUCAAACACUUCAUGCCCAUUUCUUAAUUGGGUUGUUUGACUCUUUGUUGUUCAGUUGUGAAGCAUUCUUUAUGAAUUCUGGAUACUAGACCCUUAUCAGAUAUGUGAUCAGGAAAUAGUUUCUCCCAUUACAUGAGUUGUCUUUAUACAUUCUUCAGCUUCUCAGGUAAGGCACGACAGUUUUAAUUCUGAAUACAAUUGACCCAUUUUUUAUUUAGUUGCUUAUAUGGAUGUCUUUUUAAAUCUACACCUCUAAUUCUCUCUCAAGCUUCAAAAGACAUUUUCAUCAGACUUUGGUCUUCCUAAUUACUGCCCUUUCAACCACCCAGGCUAGA
rnacentral:lncRNA from 1 species